GGUCUGUCAGUUCCAAGGUGACCUGUUAGGAGGAAUGCACUGUGAUGGGAGAUUACCUCGGCAUGAUUGAAGCAGCAAGGCUUAGUAGCUUUUCAAUUUGUGAAGACUUUUGUCAAUUUAUAAAUGCUGCAGAACCUUUAAAGCAGUGAAGCUGAUUUUGAUUCAUCAUGAUGAAGAGAACCAAUCUCUUGGGAUGUAACAUUUAAGAGGGUAUUUGGUUUUGCUACAUAAAAUGUAUUUUUUAACUUAUAAAUUAAUUUAAAAAUAAAUAAAUAAUUUUUCAAU
rnacentral:misc_RNA from 1 species